AUCGCUUCCGGCCUUUUGGCUCAGAUCAAGUGUAGUAUCUGUUCUUAUCAGUUUAAUAUCUGAUACGUCCCCCAUCGGGGACUACAUAUUAAAUGGAUUUUUCGAACAGGGAGUCGGAAAUGGGGCUUGCUCCGUCCGCUCCACGCAUCGACCCGGUAUUGCAGUACCUCCGGGAAUGGUGCAACACUU
rnacentral:snRNA from 1 species